GACCUCAAAUCAGGUAGGACUACCCGCUGAACUUAAGCAUAUCAAUAAGCGGAGGAAAAGAAACUAACAAGGAUUCCCCUAGUAACUGCGAGUGAAGCGGGAAAAGCUCAAAUUUAAAAUCUGRCAGUCUUUGGCUGUCCGAGUUGUAAUCUAGAGAAGUGUUAUCCGCGCUGGACCGUGUACAAGUCUCCUGGAAUGGAGCGUCAUAGAGGGUGAGAAUCCCGUCUUUGACACGGACUACCAGGGCUUUGUGAUGCGCUCUCAAAGAGUCGAGUUGUUUGGGAAUGCAGCUCAAAAUGGGUGGUAAAUUCCAUCUAAAGCUAAAUAUUGGCGAGAGACCGAUAGCGAACAAGUACCGUGAGGGAAAGAUGAAAAGAACUUUGGAAAGAGAGUUAAACAGUACGUGAAAUUGCUGAAAGGGAAACGCUUGAAGUCAGUCGCGUUGUCCAGGGAUCAACCUUGCUUUUGCUUGGUGCACUUUCUGGUUGACGGGUCAGCAUCAAUUUUGACCAUUGGAAAAAGAUUAAGGGAAUGUGGCAUCUUUGGAUGUGUUAUAGCCCUUGGUUGCAUACGAUGGUUGGGAUUGAGGAACUCAGCACGCCGCAAGGCCGGGUUUAACCACGUACGUGCUAGAU
rnacentral:rRNA from 1 species